rnacentral:rRNA from 1 species
CAAUAGCGUAUAUUAAAGUUGUUGCAGUUAAAAAGCUCGUAGUUGGAUUUCUGGUGGGAGCGAUCGGUCUGGCGCUUAGCGCGAGUACUUGCAUCGUCUCCGGCCAUCCUUGGGGAGAGUCUGUCUGGCAUUAAGUUGUCGGGCAGAGGAUCCUCAUCGUUUACUGUGAAAAAAUUAGAGUGUUCAAAGCAGGCUUAUGCCGUCGAAUAUAUUAGCAUGGAAUAAUAAGAUAGGACUUUGGUACUAUUUUGUUGGUUUGCGCACCAAAGUAAUGAUUAAUAGGGACAGUUGGGGGUAUUCGUAUUCCGUUGUCAGAGGUGAAAUUCUUGGAUUUACGGAAGACGAACUACUGCGAAAGCAUUUACCAAGGAUGUUUUCAUUAA